rnacentral:tRNA from 2 species
GCGGCGAUGGCGAAAUGGCAGACGCGCUGGCUUCAGGAGCCAGUGUCCGCAAGGACGUGUGGGUUCAACUCCCUCUCGCCGCACAA